rnacentral:rRNA from 1 species
AGAGUUUGAUCAUGGCUCAGAAUCAACGCUGGCGGCGUGCCUCAGACAUGCAAGUCGAACGAUUAAACUCUUCUUCGGAAGAGAUAUAAAGUGGCGCACGGGUGAGUAACACGUAGGUAAUGUACCUUUGGGUGGGGAAUAACUUAGGGAAACUUAAGCUAAUACCGCAUAAUGCAGCGGCUCCUUCGGGAGACAGUUGUUAAAGAUUUAUCGCCUAAAGAGCAGCCUGCGGCAGAUUAGCUAGUUGGUAAGGUAACGGCUUACCAAGGCUACGAUCUGUAUCCGACCUGAGAGGGUGGUCGGACACACUGACACUGAAUAACGGGUCAGACUCCUACGGGAGGCAGCAGUCGGGAAUUUUGGGCAAUGGGCGAAAGCCUGACCCAGCAACGCCGCGUGAAGGAUGAAGUCUUUCGGGAUGUAAACUUCGUAAGAAUAGGAAGAAUAAAUGACGGUACUAUUUGUAAGGUCCGGCUAACUACGUGCCAGCAGCCGCGGUAAUACGUAGGGACCAAGCGUUGUUCGGAUUUACUGGGCGUAAAGGGCGCGUAGGCGGCAAUUCAAGUCAGUUGUGAAAUCUCCGAGCUUAACUCGGAACGGUCAACUGAUACUGCUUUGCUAGAGUACAGAAGGGGCAAUCGGAAUUCUUGGUGUAGCGGUGAAAUGCGUAGAUAUCAAGAGGAACACCAGAGGCGAAGGCGAAUUGCUGGGCUGACACUGACGCUGAGAUACGAAAGCUAGGGGAGCAAACAGGAUUAGAUACCCCGGUAGUCC